GAACGGCAGCGGGGGUAGCUUGCUACCUGCCGGCGAGUGGCGAACGGGUGAGUAAUACAUCGGAACGUGCCCUGUAGUGGGGGAUAACUAGUCGAAAGACUAGCUAAUACCGCAUACGACCUGAGGGUGAAAGUGGGGGACCGCAAGGCCUCAUGCUAUAGGAGCGGCCGAUGUCUGAUUAGCUAGUUGGUGGGGUAAAGGCCCACCAAGGCGACGAUCAGUAGCUGGUCUGAGAGGACGAUCAGCCACACUGGGACUGAGACACGGCCCAGACUCCUACGGGAGGCAGCAGUGGGGAAUUUUGGACAAUGGGGGCAACCCUGAUCCAGCAAUGCCGCGUGUGUGAAGAAGGCCUUCGGGUUGUAAAGCACUUUUGUCCGGAAAGAAAUCGCACUGGUUAAUACCUGGUGUGGAUGACGGUACCGGAAGAAUAAGGACCGGCUAACUACGUGCCAGCAGCCGCGGUAAUACGUAGGGUCCAAGCGUUAAUCGGAAUUACUGGGCGUAAAGCGUGCGCAGGCGGUUGUGCAAGACCGAUGUGAAAUCCCCGGGCUUAACCUGGGAAUUGCAUUGGUGACUGCACGGCUAGAGUGUGUCAGA
rnacentral:rRNA from 1 species